GGGGCUGACUAUAGCUUUCGACAUGAGGAAUUUAACAGAUUGUUUUGCAAGUCGAACGUAGACGUAAUCUACACAAUAAUUGCAACAAAAUUGCAGAAGCUCGCAGCUGUAUUUAAUCCAUUUAAACUACAGCCUGUAGCUAUCGCUGCCUAAUAUAGGUACGCCAUGCGUUGUCCAACGUCUUAUAAGACAGCGCGUGUCAUAUGUAUAAGACUCGGUGCAUAGUGCCAUGACGACAUUGUGCAUUUAAACUUUUCGGCAUCCACACGCAGCAUAUGUUUGUUUCGUUUUGAGUGUUGUGCGUGGCUAACUUCUUGAAUGAAACUAAGCUUGUAGACGGACAAUCAGUUACCUUAUGGACGCGGGGGCAGUACCCGCCAGCUCCACCA
rnacentral:tmRNA from 1 species